CUUCCGCCGGCGACCGGCGCAUGGGUGAGUAACACGUAUGCAACCUGCCCCUGUCAGGGGGACAACCCGCCGAAAGGCGGGCUAAACCCGCGUACAUGCCACCGGGGCAUCCCGGAGGCAGGAAAGGCUUCGGCCGGACAGGGAUGGGCAUGCGGCGCAUUAGGCAGUAGGCGGGGUAACGGCCCACCUAACCGACGAUGCGUAGGGGUUCUGAGAGGAAGGUCCCCCACACUGGUACUGAGACACGGACCAGACUCCUACGGAAGGCAGCAG
rnacentral:rRNA from 1 species